UUGGAGAGGAAGGGGCCAAGGAGUGGCCCAAGGGCUCUUAGCUGUAGAAGGCCUCAAGGCAGUGCCCACUCCACCCCCAUGUGGUUUCACAAACAGGAAGUGGCUGAGCUGUGUUCGAGGUAGGCUUGGCCAGGAGCUUCUUGUCCUUGCCAGGACUUCCGGUGGUGGGACAGAAAGCCACAGGAGAGGGCCAAAGCCCCACCAUGGACAUCCUGCAGCACAUCAGAAAAUACAGCCUGACUUGGGUGUGGACCUUCUGGAAGCUGGGCUGCUACCAGCAGGAACAUUUUAUGCUCUGCUUCUCUGACCCCGUAAAGCCACCCUUUGACAAGCUGAUCUUGAAUGACACCAAGAAGGCUGGACUGGAGCCUCAAGUACAUGUCACACAACUGAAAACUGUGUCUCCAAGCCAGAUGGGAGGGGUCCCCAUGGAGCCAUCAGUCCGCCGUGGAGCCUGUCAGUUCACAGGACGCAUGACAACCAGACCCGCCCACAGUGACUGACCAGAGGGGACAGCUGAGCAGUUAGGGGCCACCAUCCCACAGGUGGUACUUCAUUACCGGGACACAGGAGGUCAGGGCAUUAUUGCCUUCCACUUCCAGAGAAAAGUUCAAGGGCCUCUUGGGCAACCAGAAGUGAGACUGGAUCCUCUCCACCUGGAGAAAGCUUCUCCUUCGAGGCCUCGAAGUGAAGAUUCAUUCGCUGAGUGUCCGUAUUUGCAUUCUAUACAGUAUGUUUUGAAGAACAAACACAUUUUGUUUCAAAUCCACACAGAAAUAAAGACUUUAAGCCAGCGAACAGCUCUGGAAUAUUUCUCCCCUUCCCCAA